rnacentral:ncRNA from 1 species
CCGCGUGCGGGAGGUUGAGACGCGCGGUCCACACCCCGGCCGCCGGGACCGCGCCGAGCCACUGGCGAGACCGACCCGCGCGUGC